rnacentral:rRNA from 1 species
CGGUAAUUCCAGCUCCAAUAGCGUAUACUAAAGUUGUUGCAGUUAAAAAGCUCGUAGUUGGAUUUCUGCGGGGACGGAGCGGCCGGUCGCAACUUGCGACUCGAGCUAGCGCUUUCCCCGCAUCCUGCCGCGAACCGUGCUACCAUUAGUUUGGUGGCGCUGGGGAUCGGCUCGAUUACUUUGAGAAAAAUAGAGUGUUCAAAGCAGGCCACACGCCUUGAAUAAGUUAGCAUGGAAUAAUGACUAAGGACUUCGGUUCUAUUUUGUUGGUGUUCGGGACUGAAGUAAUGAUUGAUAGGGACAGUUGGGGCGGUCUGUAUUCCAAAGCGAGAGGUGAAAUUCUUAGACCUUCGGAAGACAAACAGCUGCGAAAGCGUUCCGCAAGGAUGUUCCCUUUGAUCAAGAACGAAAGUUGGGGGAUCGAAGACGAUCAGAUACCGUCGUAGUCUCAACUAUAAACUAUACCAGCUAGGGAUCGGUCAACGUUUAAUUAUUCGACUUGAUCGGCACCUUAUGAGAAAUCAAAGCAUCUGGGUUCCGGGGGGAGUAUGGUCGCAAGGCUGAAACUUAAAGGAAUUGACGGAAGGGCACCACCAGCCGUGGAGCCUGUGGCUUAAUUUGACUCAACACGGGAAAACUUACCAGGUCCAGACAUAGUAAGGAUUGACAGAUUGAUAGCUCUUUCUUGAUUCUGUGGGUGGUGGUGCAUGGCCGUUCUUAGUUGGUGGAGUGAUUUGUCUGGUUAAUUCCGUUAACGAACGAGACCCCAGCCUGCUAAAUAGCGCGGCUGAGCUUUGCUCGGUGCGAGCUUCUUAGAGGGACUAUGAUGCGUGAUAGCACAUGGAAGUUUGGGGCAAUAACAGGUCUGUGAUGCCCUUAGAUGUUCUGGGCCGCACACGGGCUACACUGGCGCCUGCAACGAGCAUAUCAGCUGGCCCGAGAGGGUCUUGGCUAAUCUUUUGAACCGGCGCCGUGCUUGGGAUUGACCUUUGCAAUUGUUGGUCAUGCAACGAGGAAUGCCUUGUAAACGCGAGUCAUCAGCUCGCAUUGAAUACGUCCCUGCCCUUUGUACACACCGCCCGUCGCUCCUACCGAUGAAUGUUCCGAUGAAAUUUUCGGAGAGCGCCAGAGAACGGGGCUCUGCCUUGCAGGUCUGGAGGCUCAAAGUCACUUAAAUCUGAACAUUUCGAGGAAGGAGAAGUCGUAACAAGGUAACC